UAGAGUUUGAUCCUGGCUCAGAUUGAACGCUGGCGGCAGGCCUAACACAUGCAAGUCGAGCGGCAGCGACAACAUUGAACCUUCGGGGGAUUUGUUGGGCGGCGAGCGGCGGACGGGUGAGUAAUGCCUGGGAAAUUGCCCUGAUGUGGGGGAUAACCAUUGGAAACGAUGGCUAAUACCGCAUGAUAGCUUCGGCUCAAAGAGGGGGACCUUCGGGCCUCUCGCGUCAGGAUAUGCCCAGGUGGGAUUAGCUAGUUGGUGAGGUAAGGGCUCACCAAGGCGACGAUCCCUAGCUGGUCUGAGAGGAUGAUCAGCCACACUGGAACUGAGACACGGUCCAGACUCCUACGGGAGGCAGCCGUGGGGAAUAUUGCACAAUGGGCGCAAGCCUGAUGCAGCCAUGCCGCGUGUAUGAAGAAGGCCUUCGGGUUGUAAAGUACUUUCAGCAGUGAGGAAGGGGGUAUCGUUAAUAGCGGUAUCCUUUGACGUUAGCUGCAGAAGAAGCACCGGCUAACUCCGUGCCCAGCAGCCGCGGUAAUACGGAGGGUGCGAGCGUUAAUCGGAAUUACUGGGCGUAAAGCGCAUGCAGGUGGUUUGUUAAGUCAGAUGUGAAAGCCCGGGGCUCAACCUCGGAAUCGCAUUUGAAACUGGCAGGCUAGAGUACUGUAGAGGGGGGUAGAAUUUCAGGUGUAGCGGUGAAAUGCGUAGAGAUCUGAAGGAAUACCGGUGGAGAAGGCGGCCCCCUGGACAGAUACUCACACUCGGAUGCGAACGCGUGGGGAGCAAACAGGA
rnacentral:rRNA from 1 species